rnacentral:lncRNA from 1 species
CAGGAGAUGAGCAGAUGCAUUUCUUUGCCGUGCUUUGUCUCUGCCCCAUCUCCAGCUCUCUGGAUCCCUUUGCCGCUCCUUUCCCCGAGGACCCCCAACCCAGCUUCUCUGGCGACAGCUUUUUCUGGAUGUGUGUCCUCCACAAUGAGGCUGCAGCCCACUGGGAAUCCCCCCCUUUCACUUUGUGAGUGCGCUGAACCCGAAGAAAUUAAGCUCCGAAUUUUCGAGGAGUGGAUUUAUUAAUAGCAGCUGCAAGUAGAAACGACGUCUAAUUGUGAUCAGCACUGAGAGAGCAGAAGGAAGGAGGGCUGCUGUGCGCAUCGCGUUACGAAGCGACCGACGCGACCGGAGGGAGACGGCCUCAGCAAACGGGAUAAUUACAGCCGUGCUGCCAUAAUUAAUGCUCACACGCUCUGUUCCUCAGCCCUGUUUUUCUGGUGCAGCUCGGUUUAAGUGAAGGUCUCCGUGUCGCUCUGACGCUGGUUUAGGCUGCAAAAGCCAUCAGCCCGCGGGGAAAUUCAUUCUUGAAACUGCAGCUUAAAUCUGUGAGCCAUUUCUGAAAUUACAGGUUAGCAGAGCCCGGGGCCUUCCACGGAGCAGACACACAUUGUUCAGAGCUUUGGAAUCAGCGCCUGUAGCGACGCAGCACUAAAAUGGAGGACCCACCACCAGCGGGCAGAGCCCACCUUCACUGUGUGCACAUCUCACAGCACCACCGCUGGGCCCUUCCCCAGGAGCUGCUCCCCGACGGGAAGUGCUGUGCCGCAAAGGCCCAUAAGGACAGCAGCAAAAGCCCACUGCUUAAAUACAGUGUGGGUAUCUGUGGGAAGGAUCUGCCCGUGGGCAAUACGAGCAGCACAUCAGUCACGAAGCAGCCGGAGCCGUGAGCAGAGCUGUGCUGGUGGAAACGAAUCCCUCCUGCCUCACCGCCAGCGCUGCUCUCCCACCUGACGGAGUCCUUCCCGGUUUGUAAAUGCACAGCACUGCAGUGGGAAGCAGAGCACCGCAUCAGCCAUGGGACGGAACUCUGCAGGGGGGGAGGAUGGGAGAACCCCCCCCGAGAGGAGGCGCCCUUUGCAGCUCUGCUGGGAGAUAAACGAGCGGGGUUCUGCCUGCAGAAGGCACUCUGUUCUGCUCACUGCUGGCACCGUGUGAGCGCACUGCUUGCUUCGGCGCUGGGAGGCGAAAGACAGCCUGCAGAGAAUGGAACUUUGUGGACUCUGCAGCCUGGGAUGGCCCCGAGCUGCCCAGAUGGCUGCGGGGUACCACACACCUGUGAGCUCUGCGGGGCCACUGAGCGCCGGGGAGCAGAUUGCAGGGAGUAAGGAUGGCUGUAGGCAUGCAGAGCUGUGAUAAAAGCAGCUGCUGAAGAUGAGUGGGGACACAAAUCAUCGGUGUGGAGGAGCUGUGAGCUCCCGGUGUUUCACUUAUGUCAGUGGGAGCUACUUUUAGUGCUCAGCUCGUCCCAAGAGCAGGGCCGACAGCAUCGCGAUGUGACCACAACCAGAGGACGAGCGAGGGAAUCUUGGCCUGCAUAGCUUUGCAAUGAGUUCACGGCACAUUCCUGACUCCCCGGCCCGUUCCGAGCCUCCGGAGCUGCGCACCAUUUCUGUGCAAUCACAUUGCAGCUUAUGCACAGCCACAAACACGGCCACACACCUCCCGCAGGACGGCGCGGUGCUCCCUGCCCCGCACACAGCAGUGGCUCUGAGCCCAGCAGGGAUGCAGAGGGCUGCCCAGCGCAGCUCCGCGCCUCCGUGCCACCGUCGUGCAGCACCUCAUCCAUCUGCAGCAUGCAGCUCUGCGGGGCUCUGGCUCUGCGCCUCUGCAAACAGCGGCGUGGUAGAACCGCGUGUUCUCUCCGGGUCACAACGGGUUGCAGUCACAAACGGACAGCGUUUGCAAGACCACCUUGGGAGUUAUGGAUGUACAACUUGAAGCAGAACCCGAAAUGGCUUGAGAUGGCUUUUUAAUUAAUGAAGGAGUUAAUGAGCACUUUGGGAAUCAGAUGUGCUGGCCCGGCUGGGUGCCGCUGGGCAGCUCUGCAUGGAAGGAGGGCUCCUGCUUUCCAAUUCCUUGCACACCCCCCCUUUUCUCGUGGCUCCCCACAAUCGAGGAAUACCCUUCAGCUGAGGCCUUAACAGGGUGGUAACAACAAAGGAAAGGCAAACGCAGAACCCCUCCAGAUUGCUUCCUGCAGGGACAGCUUCCCCCCUCCCAGCCUUUCAUUUCUGCACUCCAGAGCCCGGACGUCUGCAGACAGUUGCUGGAUACCUCCAGUAUCCAGAAGGGCCCAUAUGUGCUAUCAGUGUUUGCCAGCAAAGUGCCGGGCUGGAAUCAAACAUUUCCAGCUUUUGUGCGGAAAGAAUAAAACGGCAGCAGAUAGAUUAAAAAAGACCUGUUUCAGACAGAAAAGAGCAGAGCUGCUGCACGGUGCUGUGUGAAUACCUCUGGCUCCGAGGACAUCCACUGCCCUCCUUUUAGAUGGUAUUUAUCGGGAAUUUGGGUGUUUUUGUCAGUCCUUAUUCUGUUUUAUCAGACAUCUCUGCCAACUCAGUGCACUGCGGGGUGGGCUGGAGGAUGAGGGCAGGAGGGCCGUGCAGUGGGAAUGGGAAAGUGAGCAGUAAAUGGUGAAGCACCGUGCGCCCCAUCUAAAAGUCCCAGGGUUCCCCACUUGUUUCACUCUGGUUGGUUAAGGGUGGAAAACCAGAGCUUGUGAUGGUGAACUCUGGGACUGGUUGUGUAAAUGGCCCUCUGGUCUCACCCCACAGGGAAAAUGUGUUGGUGAAAAGAAGGAGAGAUGGGGUUUGAGCUUUAACAUUUGUAUUAUAAUAGAGCAAACUAUGGAGUUACAGAUCUCAUAUUCCCAAUGCUCCAUGUGUACGCUUUGCCAUUACCCAGCACUGAAACUCCAGGAAUACGCACAGCGGGGCAGAGGUGUAACUGCCCUACAGAGGUGUGCUUGAACAAAACUACCAACUACAGCACUGCAUACACCACUUCACACACUGCUACUGCUCUGUCGCUG